AUACUUACCUGGCAGGGGUGACACCAUGGUCAGGAGGGUGGUUUUCCCAGGGUGAUCCUUGUUCAUUGCCCUCCAGAUAUGCAAACCCCUGCAAUUCCCCCUCAAGUGGGAAACUUGACUGCAUACUUUGUGGGAGUGUGAGACUGCAUCUCCACU